CCUCUCUCUCUCCCCCGUUCAGCUCCAGCUCGCCGCCACCACGGAGCACGGCGACCGUCGCCACCGGUCCCGUUGGACUCGCCACGUCGCCGCCUUCCUCCCGUGACCAGUCGCCGGCCUUGGACCGCCGCCUAUCGGCCGGAAACUGGCGAUUUCUCGCCGGAAUUCACCCAAACUUCAAGCCAUUCGAUCUCCUCCGUUUCUCAACCAAAUCAGUCGAGUGAGGUUGAAAUUUUGGGAAAUGUCCAGUUUAUAGGGGAGACUCUGCCGAAAUUUCGGCAGAAAGUCCCGGUCUUUAGUGAAAGGGUCCGGCAUCGGGGUGAUGUCAGGAAUUCCAAAGGAUUUGUCUCGAAUUAUGGGAAAAUUCGGGGCGGGUCCUUUCAUUCAAGCAGCCCAGUUAUUAUCUCUACAUAGACUGCUAUCAUGUAAGGAAAAUUACCAAA